UGGCGCUGCCUGCGGCCGGGCAGGCUCAGGAAGAGCCUUCCCCGGGGCUUGUCCGGGCUUGUCCGGGCCCGAGCCCGCCUCUGGCCGAGCGCUGCGGGCCCGCGGCUCCGGCUCCGUGCGUGCGGCAGCCGCGGAGCCCCGGAGAGCCGCGGCGGCGGAGCCGAGCCGGUACCGGGAGGAGCCGAGCCGGUACCUGCCCCGAGCCCAGACAUCGUGGGAGAAGUGACCAGGCAUUCAACCUAUGCCCAGCCUGCCUGGAGCAGCCUUCCCCCCGAAAAAAGAAUCCUGCACCCAGUGGACCAGAGGAGGCUUUGGGUGAAAAGGCCACGGCCAAGGAGGGAUUUUAAGGAAUUGGUGCAGUCUCCUGGGACGGAGCCCCGGUUCUGCCCUCGCAGUGCCUGGAGCUGAGGCUGCAGGAAUGCUGCACACCCCAGCCCCUGUGCAGCCCAGGCUGCUGCAGCGUGUGGCAGCCAAGUCCACCGGGCAGGUGAGCAGUGGUGCCUCUCUCCUUGGUGCUCCCAGUGAAUUCUCCUUCUGCCCAGCCUGUGUGCCCCCUCUGCCGUGCAGUGAGCACUCCAACACUUUAAACAGACCCUGACCCUCGGGAGUGAGAAGAGAGGAGGAUGUCAGCCCCCCUGCCCCAGCUCCCCCGCUUGGUGCCAGC